rnacentral:rRNA from 1 species
UACCGCGUGAAGGAUGAAGGCCCUUGGGUCGUAAACUUCUGUCAGAGGGGAAGAAAUACUCGCAAGAGUGCUGACGGUACCCUCAAAGGAAGCACCGGCUAACUCCGUGCCAGCAGCCGCGGUAAUACGGAGGGUGCAAGCGUUGUUCGGAAUUAUUGGGCGUAAAGAGCAUGUAGGCGGACUGUUAAGUCUGGUGUGAAAGCCCGGGGCUCAACCCCGGAAGUGCAUUGGAUACUGGCAGUCUUGAGUAUGGGAGAGGAAAGUGGAAUUCCGAGUGUAGGAGUGAAAUCCGUAGAUAUUCGGAGGAACACCAGUGGCGAAGGCGGCUUUCUGGACCAAUACUGACGCUGAGAUGCGAAAGCGUGGGGAGCGAACAGGAUUAGAUACCCUGGUAGUCCACGCCGUAAACGAUGGGCACUAGGUGUUGCGGGUAACCACUCCUGCAGUGCCGCAGCUAACGCAUUAAGUGCCCCGCCUGGGGAGUACGGCCGCAAGGCUAAAACUCAAAGGAAUUGACGGGGGCCCGCACAAGCGGUGGAGCAUGUGGUUUAAUUCGACGCAACGCGAAGAACCUUACCUGGGUUUGACAUCCCGAUCAUAUUUUAUGGAAACAUAGAAGUCA